rnacentral:lncRNA from 1 species
GCUAGGAGCUAUUUUCUCUGGCAUGUGGAGAGAAAUUUUCUGAUGUAAAAGAGAGUGCUAUUAAAAUAGAGACAGUGAAAAUGAGAUGGAGAGAGAGAAAGAGAAGGAAGAGAGGGAGAGAGAUGAGGGGAGAGGGGAAAAAGGAUGGGGGAGGGGACAGAGGAGAAGUCUCUGCUUGCUGAAGGAGGUGGUUGGCAGGGUGCCUACCUUCCUGGAAGCCUUGUGUGCCACCUCCUGCAGGAACCUACUCUUUGCCCCACCUGUUCCACCAAAUGUAAUUUUCCAUGGAAAGACAGAAGCAUGGCUUUCCCCCAUUGGGGUGAUCUCUCUUUUUCUUGGUUGUUUGGAGUAGGCUGUGAUUCUUUGAUGGCACCUACAUUUUUUCCCAGUUGCAUUCCUCACUCCUCAGUCCUUCCCAUCCAUAUAGUGUGGUGCAUGAAUGGGGAGGACCAAGGAGUGUUCGUAAAGGUUGGGGGGACUGAAGUAUGUGAUGCAUAAAUGGUGAGGGCUGGGGAGUGUUGUCUGUGGAUGUGGGAACUGAGGAAUAUGGUGUGUAGAUAGGGUGGACUGUGGAACCUAUUGCUCAGACAGAGAGAACUGAGGAAUCUGUUGUGUGAAUGGGGAGGACUGAGAAAUUUGGUGCAUGGGUGGGGAGGACACUGCAGUGUGUUGUGCAGAGGGUGAGGAUUCGAUAGUGUGGGGCCUGGAUAAUGGGAAGGUCUGGGGAGUUGCUGUGUGGAUUGGGAGCUUUGGGAGGUGUGGUGUGUAAAGGAGGAGGACUGAGAAGUGUGGUGCAUGCAGGGGGAGGACUGGAGGUUGUAGCAUGUGUAUGACGCGGGCUGUGGAGUAUGGUGUGUGGAUAAAGUUGAUUGGAAAGUCUGUUGCAUGGACAAGGAGGACUCAAAAAUGUGGUUUGUGAACAGGGAGGAUUG